rnacentral:piRNA from 1 species
UGUGUGGCCAUCGCUGCAGACAGGCGC